rnacentral:snRNA from 1 species
GUUCGAUGGCAUCCCAUGGACAUGUGUUAAAAUUGGAAAAAUGCAGACAAACAUUAGCAUGCCUCCAGUCCAAGGAUGGCGUGAAAAUUCGUGAAGCGUUCCAAACUUUU